AUGAACGCUAGCGGCAGGCCUAACACAUGCAAGUCGAGGGGCAGCACGGUGUAGCAAUACACUGGUGGCGACCGGCGCACGGGUGCGUAACGCGUAUGCAACCUACCCAUAACAGGGGGAUAACACUGAGAAAUUGGUACUAAUACCCCAUAACAUCAGGACCGGCAUCGGUUCUGGUUGAAAACUCCGGUGGUUAUGGAUGGGCAUGCGUUGUAUUAGCUGGUUGGUGAGGUAACGGCUCACCAAGGCAACGAUACAUAGGGGGACUGAGAGGUUAACCCCCCACAUUGGUACUGAGACACGGACCAAACUCCUACGGGAGGCAGCAGUGAGGAAUAUUGGUCAAUGGACGCAAGUCUGAACCAGCCAUGCCGCGUGCAGGAAGACGGCUCUAUGAGUUGUAAACUGCUUUUGUACGAGAGUAAACGCUCUUACGUGUAAGAGCCUGAAAGUAUCGUACGAAUAAGGAUCGGCUAACUCCGUGCCAGCAGCCGCGGUAAUACGGAGGAUCCAAGCGUUAUCCGGAUUUAUUGGGUUUAAAGGGUGCGUAGGCGGUUUGAUAAGUUAGAGGUGAAAUACCGGUGCUUAACACCGGAACUGCCUCUAAUACUGUUGGACUAGAGAGUAGUUGCGGUAGGCGGAAUGUAUGGUGUAGCGGUGAAAUGCUUAGAGAUCAUACAGAACACCGAUUGCGAAGGCAGCUUACCAAACUAUAUCUGACGUUGAGGCACGAAAGCGUGGGGAGCAAACAGGAUUAGAUACCCUGGUAGUCCACGCAGUAAACGAUGAUAACUCGCUGUCGGCGAUACACGGUCGGCGGCUAAGCGAAAGCGAUAAGUUAUCCACCUGGGGAGUACGUUCGCAAGAAUGAAACUCAAAGGAAUUGACGGGGGCCCGCACAAGCGGUGGAGUAUGUGGUUUAAUUCGAAGCAACGCGAAGAACCUUACCAGGCCUUGACAUCCCUUGCAGAGGUAUAGAGAUAUAUCCGAGGUUAUCAAGGAGACAGGUGGUGCAUGGUUGUCGUCAGCUCGUGCCGUGAGGUGUCGGGUUAAGUCCCAUAACGAGCGCAACCCCUACCGUUAGUUGCCAUCAGGUCAAGCUGGGCACUCUGGCGGGACUGCCGGUGUAAGCCGAGAGGAAGGUGGGGAUGACGUCAAAUCAGCACGGCCCUUACGUCCGGGGCUACACACGUGUUACAAUGGUAGGUACAGAGGGCAGCUACCCAGUGAUGGGAUGCGAAUCUCGAAAGCCUAUCUCAGUUCGGAUCGGAGGCUGAAACCCGCCUCCGUGAAGUUGGAUUCGCUAGUAAUCGCGCAUCAGCCAUGGCGCGGUGAAUACGUUCCCGGGCCUUGUACACACCGCCCGUCAAGCCAUGGAAGCUGGGGGUGCCUGAAGUUCGUGACCGCAAGGAGCGACCUAGGGCAAAACCGGUGACUGGGGCU
rnacentral:rRNA from 1 species